rnacentral:rRNA from 1 species
AUUGAACGCUGGCGGCAUGCUUUACACAUGCAAGUCGAACGGUGAAGCAGAGCUUGCUCUGUGGAUCAGUGGCGAACGGGUGAAUAACACGUGAGCAACCUGCCCCGGACUCUGGGAUAAGCGCUGGAAACGGCGUCUAAGACCGGAUACGAGAUUCCACCGCAUGGUGAGUUUCUGGAAAGAUUUUUUGGUCUGGGAUGGGCUCACGGCCUAUCAGCUUGUUGGUGAGGUAAUGGCUCACCAAGGCGUCGACGGGUAGCCGGCCUGAGAGGGUGACCGGCCACACUGGGACUGAGACACGGCCCAGACUCCUACGGGAGGCAGCAGUGGGGAAUAUUGCACAAUGGGCGGAGGCCUGAUGCAGCAACGCCGCGUGAGGGAUGACGGCCUUCGGGUUGUAAGCCUCUUUUAGCAGGGAAGAAGCGAAAGUGACGGUACCUGCAGAAAAAGCGCCGGCUAACUACGUGCCAGCCGCCGCCGUAAAAC